rnacentral:lncRNA from 1 species
AUGGCGAGUAUAACUUGACAAGUCUAAGCUUUACAUCAUACUAGUGAUUCUAUCAAGCUAUACCUGGUCAGUCACUCAAAAUCUCUCACUACUCCUUACACAUAAGGAAAGUGGUUUACUAAUGUCCUAUUCAAGGACUCAUGGCAUAUAUCCUGUAGUCCAAUGUAAACCUCCACUACUUGGGGUAAUUACAUACUAUGCAAUUACUAGUUAUUUACUAGAUUAUAUUCAGUUGUAUAUCAUUCAAAAUAUACCAUCAUACUAAAUUCUAGUUACUUACUAGAACAUAUACCAUAAUCUGAAUUUAUC